rnacentral:rRNA from 1 species
UACGGGGGGGAGCAAGCGUUGUUCGGAUUUACUGGGCGUAAAGGGUGCGUAGGCGGCGCGGUAAGUCGGGUGUGAAAUCUCGGAGCUUAACUCCGAAACUGCAUUCGAUACUGCCGUGCUUGAGGACUGGAGAGGAGACUGGAAUUUACGGUGUAGCGGUGAAAUGCGUAGAUAUCGUAAGGAAGACCAGUGGCGAAGGCGGGGUCUCUGGACAGUUCCUGACGUGAGGCACGAAGGUCAGGGG